UCGCUGCGUCAGAAAAGAGAGUUUUUUGUCAUUACUUCCUGUUUCUUAAGAUCUCCCGAGUCUUUCAAUUUUCUUUUCAAUAGAGUAUGCUCAUGCUGCUUUUUCUCAACUAAAGUCUCGACCACAUGCAUCUACUCGAGAAUUUUCAGUUGCUUAUCAAGGAGAGAGAGUGUUUCCCCUCUGUACAUGCCAUUCAUGCUGUCUGCUUGAGGAAUCAGGUGGAUCCGCUGAGGUCGACUCAAUAGCACAAGAAUGCUUAUCUGUGCAAAUAAUAUAUUUAUGGUGAACAUUUAACAAACAAGGGAAGCAAUAGUGGUAUCAUGCCACGCAGUAGAAAAACCAGGCCAUACUAAUUCCACGAGUAAAAUUAAAUGCUAACGAUAAAAUACGAGGCUAGAGACUCAAUAUGAAUAGAACGACAACGCCCUUCUUCACAUGAUUCAAGCAUAUGAAUUGGAAACAGGCACGAUAUAUAUACAUGCAUUUGUACGGGCGUACAUAAAUCUAGGUAGAAAUAUAUUAUAAAGAUGAUUUUAAGUGUACCUGCAUUAGAAGGAGAAUCAAAGCAACCUAAUGAGGACAUCAUCUAUUUUAUUUCUAGUUGGACUUUAUUUUGUUUUGUGGACUUUAUUUUUGUUUUGGAUUCUUAUUUAUAUAACCGGGCUUGUAUUGGCCCAAACCCGUUCUAAUUAGGGUUUUGUUUUUCUACUAUUUAAACCUAAUUUGCUAUGUAAUUUUAGUAGUUGAUGAUUGAAUAAAAUUAUUGUGGUGGCUUGUGGCAAUUUUUUCUCUUCUCCCCAUCUUUCAUCUAGUGGUUCUUCUAUUGAUUCUUCUUCUACCAUAGCUUCCCUUAGCAAUUUUUUUUCUUCUCCCCAUCUUUCAUCUAGUGGUUCUUCUAUUGAUUCUUCUUCUACCAUCCCUUCCCCUAAAUCCUUCUUCAUGUUAAUUGGUUUUCUCAUUUUCCAUUUAAUAAUUCUAUAGGUGCUACAUCAAAUUUGGUAUCAAAGCCAAAACUUAGGUAAUUUCUCAUCCACAAUCCAAAACUUUCUUUCCAUCAUCUUCCCAAAACUUGUAGAAUAGCAUAAACGAAAGAAUUUGUUGAGGCAACAGUUUUCUUUUUUCUUUUUUCAAUUAUCUUUCUUAGUUGAAAAAAAGAAAAAGAAAAAAGAGUACUGUUCACACCCGUGAAAAAAAAAUUAGUCUUAGUAUUUUCAUCAUUUUCUGCCCAAAAAAAAAGGUUGCCAUUUUACGUUUUUUGUUUGCUGCUGUCAUCCUUGAAGGUGUUGUCCAAAAAGCAAACCUUAAUCCAUUAAACUGCUCUAAUCUCCCAGCCCAACUUAUUUUUCCAACCUAAACUCUAGCCCAUUAGUCUAUGAAUAAUGCUACUUUAAUAUAAUGGACACCAUUAUGGUGUCCAUUAUGUACCCCAAGAAUGGUCCUUAGUCUAUUACCUAAUUGACCCAAAUCCGUAGGCAAACGAAUUGGAGUAAUCCUUUCAUUAAUAUUCCCAAUCUACAAUUGAGAGAAGACACGAAGAUCCUCGGGAAUAUAGAUUGCACCAUCACUGGUUGGAUUGAAAUCUCGUGAGCACAUUGCUGGCAACUUUAAGCUCUCGUGGGCACUGCCUCUGCAAUUCAACAAGGAGGAGUCUUUCUCUAUUUAUCUUUGGUUUAUACGACUAUUUCAUUUUAAAAUUGCAUCAUUUAAAUUCUUUAUAUUGUUAUUACCUUUAUAAUAUUAGCCUUAAACCUUACUUGAUCGAAAUUAUUGAACGAAUUGACUUCGCAUUGUUCCCCACUUAUUAAUAUGAUUGGAGAAUUUGACUAGUGUCGAACUUUUGCUUUGCUAAUUUACAUGUACCACUAGUAUUAGCUUGCCAUUUUUGGAUUUAUUUAAUCCCAAAAAUUAAAAAUUACAAAAAAAAAAAAAAGGAGGUUCAAGUUGUUAUUUUGCACUUACUAUUCAUUGAUCUCUCUAUUGCAUGCCAUUUAACUUCUAAUACAGCGCAUGUAUAGUGGUCGAUAAUUCUUCUUGUCAAUUCUACUUUCAAUACCUAAAUAUAGACUCUUCACAAUUUGAUGCACUCACUAUACAAUUAGCUCAACUUGCCACUAGCCAGCAACAAUUACAAACUCCAUCAGCAGCUGUCCAAACCAAAAUGACUGCUACUCGUGAAAAGAACAGAGAUCUAGUUGCUAGUCUGAACAAUAUUAAGCAAAUCCCUCAUUCGACUGAUGUUAAUAAUUCUGAUUUGUUCCACAAUAGACAAUAUCGUCGUCGACAAGGCGAUCAAAAAUAUUUUCAACACGAUCUUAGAGAUAGGGAUCAAGUUCGUGAGCGAAAACGAGGCCUCAUCAUGAUACUCAUUCUCUUCCUCGUCAUAAAAAGCGUUUCUUUAGAGACAUUAAAUUAGAUACUCCUACUUUCGAUGGUUGCUUAGAUCCUGAAAUUUUUAUCCAAUGGAACACCUUUACAUAAGGGAAUCGGUUAGUAACUGAGUAUGUUGCUCAAUUUGAGAAAUUUCGAAUGAAAUGUCAUGUCAUUGAGGAUGAGGCCUCGACUUUAAGUAGGUUUAUACAAGGUUUAAGAGGUGAACUUAGGCAUGAGCUUUUCUUUCGAGGUGUUACUACUCUUGAUCACGCUUACUCUUUGGCCCGAAAUUAUGAGUUAUUUAUUAGUACUCCUUAAGAAAAUCAUGAUCAUCAUCUUCCACCAAACUCAUCAUCGAUGCCUUCUCUCAAGUCUAUCAAAAGACAUUUCUCGUCUAAUGUUCCUCCUGUAUUGGAAAAUAAGGGUAAAUUUUUUGAAAUUCCAAGAGCUUUUUCUCACUUGUAGUGCUUCAACUGUAAGGACUUUGAUCACAUCUCUUCUGAAUGUCCUAGUCGAGUCUUAGUCAUUGAAAAACAAAAGAAUCUAAGAGAUGAGCGAUUGGAAGACAAAAUCUAUGGACCUGAUCUUGAAGAAUUUGAUGGCUUUGAUGAUAGCGAGAAUACCUCCUUAGAUAGUAUUCGGACUUUUCCUAUGAAUCUAGGUAUUAUAUCCCUUGUUCCCUAUACCUCUCAGUCAAAUGUUGUGUGUCAUACUCUUAUCCAACCCAAAAAGUCCUGAUGAUUUGCAUAAUCAUGCCAUUUUCAAGGAAAAUAUUGGGAAUUGGAAUUUGAUCCUCCCAACAAUCAAAUUGCAUAUAACAAUUUUGUGAAUUUAUUUAUAGGUAUGAGUUCAGUCCAAAGUUAUUCAUUGUUAUAAGUCUAGAAAUCCUUUAGACCUUAUUCCAAUGCCUCCAGACCUCACAUGCUAGUGUGUCAAUGUCAGCUGAGGUAUUUGUACAUCAUCGUCACUACUUGUGUAUUGAGAUCAAUAAACAAUUUGAAGCAAGCAAGUAAUACAUUAUUGAAGAAAUCCCAAAAUUAUGGGAUAUUUGAUUGUGAAUAUUUUUUGUAUAUUAUCUUAGUUAGGAAUAAUUUAUUUUUGCCUUAUUUAGAAGAUCAUGUUCCUUUUUUAUUGAUUCCCUUUCUACUAUAAAUUAGACAUAAGAGUCGUGUAAUUUAUUCAUUGAAAAAUAAUAGAAAUCAUAUUUUUUCUCAUUCAUUCCACAUGAUCAGAGCCACCGGUUCUAACCUAAAGCCGGCAGGCCAAUGGCAGAAAAAACCACCAGUAGUCAAAACUCAGCAAAUUUUGAGUCUAGUAUAGAAGAAACAGAGUUCAACCCAACCAUGAGUUCGUUUGGAUCGGACAAUUCUACCUUCCAACUCUCUAUAGAAAAACUCAAUGGCAGAAAUUACAAGAAUUGGGCACAAUCGAUUAAAUUGGUCAUUGACGGGGAAGGUAAAACUGGAUACCUUACUGAGAAGCAAAACAGCCUACGGACGAAAAUCUUCAAAAGAGGUGGAAAUCUGAAAACUCUGUGGUUAUGGCCUGGCUUAUGAACUCAAUGAAGCCUUCAAUUGGUAAAAAUUACCUCUUCAUGCCCAC
rnacentral:lncRNA from 1 species